ACAGUACUCUCUCCGUCUGAAAUUACUUGUCGUAGGAAUGGAUACAAAUGGAUGUAUCUAGAACUAAAAUGUGUCUAAUACAUUCAUUUCUCCGACAAGUAAUUCCGGAUGGAGGGAGUAUGUU
rfam:Triticum aestivum genome assembly, contig: Triticum_aestivum_CS42_TGACv1_scaffold_435811_5DL